rnacentral:rRNA from 1 species
UACGUAGGUGACAAGCGUUGUCCGGAUUUACUGGGCGUAAAGAGCGCGCAGGCGGUCGAUCAAGUCGAGUGUGAAAGCCCCGGCUCAACUGGGGAGGGUCAUUCGAUACUGAUCGACUCGAAGGCAGGAGAGGGAAGUGGAAUUCCCGGUGUAGUGGUGAAAUGCGUAGAUAUCGGGAGGAACACCAGUGGCGAAGGCGACUACCUGGCCUGUUCUUGACGCUGAGGCGCGAAAGCUAGGGGAGCAAACGGG